CCGUGCUAGAUGGGGAGGUAGCGGUGCCCUCACCCGUCACAGAACCUUGACGGGAUGCCUGCAAUCCGCUAUAGCGGGGUCGAAUUCCCAUUCAAGGUCUUUCCUUUUUCGGGGCCUGCCUUGGAUAAGCGGCGAUGAGGAUCGGGCCCCGGGUAGCCAAGGUUUACGAACCCCGUCAGGCCCGGAAGGGAGCAGCGGUAAGUAAAAUUCUUGUCUGUCCCGGGUGAUCCUGGUCGGAGUUGGCUGUUCAAGUAACGCCCGGGGAAGAAGAUCGAAGGUGGGUGCACG
rnacentral:SRP_RNA from 1 species